UGCGUAGGGGGCUAGCGUUGUCCGGAUUUAUUGGGCGUAAAGAGCGUGUAGGCGGCCAUGUAGGUCCGGUGUGAAAACUCGAGGCUUAACCUCGAGAUGUCAUCGGAAACCAUUUGGCUAGAGUCCGGAAGAGGAGAGUGGAAUUCCUGGUGUAGCGGUGAAAUGCGCAGAUAUCAGGAAGAACACCAAUGGCGAAGGCAGCUCUCUGGGACGGUACUGACGCUGAGACGCGAAAGCGUGGGGAGCGAACAGG
rnacentral:rRNA from 1 species